rnacentral:rRNA from 1 species
AUUGAACGCUGGCGGCAGGCCUAACACAUGCAAGUCGAGCGAGCGGCGGACGGGUGAGGAAUGUCUGAGAAACUGCCUGAUGGAGGGGGCUAACUACUGGAAACGGUAGCUAAUACCGCAUACCAUCAGAUGUGCCCAGAUGGGAUUAGCUAGUAGGUUGGGGAACGUCCCACCUAGGCGACGAUCCCUAGCGGGCCUGAGAGGAUGACCAGCCACACUGGAACGUCGACACGGGCCAUACUCCUACGCGAGGCAGCAGUGGGGACUAGUGCACAAUGGGCGCAAGCCUGAUGCAGCCAUGCGGCGUGUGUGAAGAAGGCCUUCGGGUGGUAAAGCACUUUCAGCGGGGAGGCGUUACCCGCAGAAGAAGCACCGGCUAACUCCGUGCCAGCAGCCGCGGUAAUUC